UGGGGGGGGCUAAACAUGCAGUCGAACGAUGAACCACUUCUGUGGGGAUUAGUGGCGAACGGGUGAGUAACACGUGGGCAAUCUGCCCUUCGCUCUGGGACAAGCCCUGGAAACGGGGUCUAAUACCGGAUAAUACUUCCACUCGCAUGGGUGGGGGUUGAAAGCUCCGGCGGUGAAUGAUGAGCCCGCGGCCUAUCAUCUUGUUGGUGAGGUAGUGGCUCACCAAGGCGACAACGGGUAGCCGGCCUGAGAGGGCGACCGGCCACACUGGGACUGAGACACGGCCCAGACUCCUACAGGAGGCAGCAGUGGGGAAUAUUGCACAAUGGGCGAAAGCCUGAUGCACCGACGCCGCGUGAGGGAUGACGGCCUUCGGGUUGUAAACCUCUUUCAGCAGGGAAGAAGCGAAAGUGACGGUACCUGCAGAAGAAUCGCCGGCUAACUACGUGCCAGCAGCCGCGGUAAUACGUAGGGCGCAAGCGUUGUCCGGAAUUAUUGGGCGUAAAGAGCUCGUAUGCGGUCUGUCGCGUCGGAUGUGAAAGCCCGGGGCUUAACCCCGGGUCUGCAUUCGAUACGGGCAGACUAGAGUGUGGUAGGGGAGAUCGGAAUUCCUGGUGUAGCGGUGAAAUGCUCACAUAUCAGGAGGAACACCGGUGGCGAAGGCGGAUCUCUGGGCCAUUACUGACGCUGAGGAGCGAAAGCGUGGGGAGCGAACAUGAUUAGAUACCCUGGUAGUCCACGCCGUAAACGGUGGGAACUAGGUGUUGGCGACAUUCCACGUCGUCGGUGCCGCAGCUAACGCAUUAAGUUCCCCGCCUGGGGAGUACGGCCGCAAGGCUAAAACUCAAAGGAAUUGACGGGGGCCCGCACAAACAGCAGAGCAUGUGGCUUAAUUCGACGCAACGCGAAUAU
rnacentral:rRNA from 1 species